AGUGAACGCUGGCGGUAGGCCUAACACAUGCAAGUCGAACGGCAGCACAGUAAGAGCUUGCUCUUACGGGUGGCGAGUGGCGGACGGGUGAGGCAUACAUCGGAAUCUACUUUUUCGUGGGGGAUAACGUAGGGAAACUUACGCUAAUACCGCAUACGUCCUACGGGUGAAAGCAGGGGAUCUUCGGACCUUGCGCGAUUGAAUGAGCCGAUGUCGGAUUAGCUAGUUGGCGGGGUAAAGGCCCACCAAGGCGACGAUCCGUAGCUGGUCUGAGAGGAUGAUCGGCCACACUGGAACUGAGACACGGUCCAGACUCCUACGGGAGGCAGCAGUGGGGAAUAUUGGACAAUGGGCGCAAGCCUGAUGCAGCCAUACCGCGUGGGUGAAGAAGGCCUUCGGGUUGUAAAGCCCUUUUGUUGGGAAAGAAAAGCAGCAGGUUAAUACCUCGCUGUUCUGACGGUACCCAAAGAAUAAGCACCGGCUAACUUCGUG
rnacentral:rRNA from 1 species